GUCUCUGGCCAUUACUGACACUGAGGAGCGAAAGCGUGGGGACCGAACAGGAUUAGAUACCCUGGUAGUCCACGCCGUAAACGGUGGGCGCUAGUUGUGGGAACCUUCCACGGUUUCUGCGACGCAGCUAACGCAUUAAGCGCCCCGCCUGGGGAGUACGAUCGCAAGAUUAAAACUCAAAGGAAUUGACGGGGCCCCGCACAAGCAGCGGAGCAUGCGGCUUAAUUCGACGCAACGCGAAGAACCUUACCAAGGCUUGACAUAUACAGGAAUAUGGCAGAAAUGUCAUAGCCGCAAGGUCUGUAUACAGGUGGUGCAUGGUUGUCGUCAGCUCGUGUCGUGAGAUGUUGGGUUAAGUCCCGCAACGAGCGCAACCCUCGUUCUGUGUUGCCAGCAUUUAGUUGGGGACUCACAGGAGACUGCCGGGGUUAACUCGGAGGAAGGUGGGGAUGACGUCAAAUCAUCAUGCCCCUUAUGUCUUGGGCUGCACGCAUGCUACAAUGGCUGGUACAAACGGCUGCGAUACCGCAAGGUGGAGCGAAUCCGAUAAAGCCAGUCUCAGUUCGGAUUGGGGUCUGCAACUCGACCCCAUGAAGUCGGAGUUGCUAGUAAUCGUAGAUCAGCAACGCUACGGUGAAUACGUUCCCGGGGCUUGUACACACCGCCCGUCACGUCACGAA
rnacentral:rRNA from 1 species